rnacentral:rRNA from 1 species
CCUACGGGUGGCAGCAGUGGGGAAUAUUGGACAAUGGGCGAAAGCCUGAUCCAGCCAUGCCGCGUGUGUGAAGAAGGCCUUCGGGUUGUAAAGCACUUUCAGUGGGGAAGAAAGCCUUGGGGCUAAUACCCUCGAGGAAGGACAUCACCCACAGAAGAAGCACCGGCUAACUCCGUGCCAGCAGCCGCGGUAAUACGGAGGGUGCGAGCGUUAAUCGGAAUUACUGGGCGUAAAGCGCGCGUAGGCGGUCUGAUAAGCCGGUUGUGAAAGCCCCGGGCUCAACCUGGGAACGGCAUCCGGAACUGUCAGGCUAGAGUGCAGGAGAGGAAGGUAGAAUUCCCGGUGUAGCGGUGAAAUGCGUAGAGAUCGGGAGGAAUACCAGUGGCGAAGGCGGCCUUCUGGACUGACACUGACGCUGAGGUGCGAAAGCGUGGGUAGCAAACAGGAUUAGAUCCCCCUGUCGUC